rfam:Gossypium raimondii chromosome 7, whole genome shotgun sequence.
GAGCAAUGAAGAGAACCGCGCUCUUGUGAUGGUAGGGUCCAUCACUCUCACCGAUUUAACGAUGAGAAACUGCGCAUCUAAGCUU